AUUGGUGGAACUUGUCUGUCUUGAGAAUAGGAUUGAUUAUCUCAACAAUUUCUUAGAGGAAAACAGUGAACUUUAGUGAUAGGGUACGGUCAGGAGCAAUUUGAAAAAUGAGUGUUAUUUAUUAGUGGUGAUAAAGAAAAUAUAAUAAUGUAUAGCCCAAACUUUACAGUUUUAUUUUAUUUUAUGCGUAUUAUCAAGUGUUAAUCUAGCAAAUAGUGCAUCAACUGAUAUAGAGCUUGAUGCAAAGGCACAACUAACACAUCGUUUGGACAGCCUUAACCUGUUUAUUGUAUACAUUUUUAUUAAUUUUAACAGUUCUUACAAUAUGGUUGUUCAAACACCGAAGAUUGAGAUUUCUUCACGAAACAGGCCUUGCAGUGAUAUAUGGUCUGAUUGUGGGAGCUUUCAUCCGCUACAUUGGUAGUUCAACUCCCGUUCUUCACAUGGCUGUCCAGCCAGAGCGAACUGACCGGUACAACAUGUCACUGCCACCAGACAGUCUGUGGCUGCGGUUCUCCAACAAGGGUGCAUCGGGGCCUGUUGUCAACAAGACCUAUGGAUAUGUUUUCCGUGGAGAGAUAGUCGACUUGGAGGACAACGAGAUUGAUCUGAAGGCAACAUUUGAUCCAGAAAUCUUCUUUAACAUUAUACUCCCACCAAUAAUCUUUCAUGCAGGCUACUCUUUGAAAAGGAAAUAUUUUUUCCGCAAUUUGGGUGCGAUCCUGACCUACGCAUUGAUUGGAACAACAAUCUCAUCUUUUGUUGUUGGGUCACUGAUGUAUGGCUUUCUCCAGCUGAUUCCACACCUCAAGAGCAGUUUCACAUACUUGGAUAGUCUGUAUUUUGGUGCCCUGAUCUCUCCCACCGACCCUCUUACAAUCCUAGCCAUCUUCAAUGAUCUGCGAGUGGACGUCACUCUCUAUUCUCUUGUGUUUGGUGAGAGUGUGCUCAACGACGCAGUGGCCAUAGUUCUCAGUGGGGCCAUCCAGAACUAUGCUGAGAGGUACCAAACAGGUGCAGGAGGCUUCGAGAUUGAUGCGUUCUUCCGGGCGAUGAAGGAUUUUGUGGGGAUUUUCUCUCUGUCUCUGUUUAUCGGUGCUACCAUGGGCUGCAUUACGGCUCUCAUGACCAAGUUCACCAGGGUCAAGGACUUCCCACUGCUUGAGUCAGCUCUGUUCGUGCUCAUGUCAUACAGCACGUUUCUCAUUGCAGAAGCUUCAGAUUUAACAGGUGUGGUAGCUGUGCUGUUCUGUGGGAUAUGUCAGGCGCACUACACUUACAACAAUCUUUCGAGGGACUCUCGCAAACGCACCAAGAGACUGUUUGAGCUGCUUAACUUCCUGGCGGAGAACUUCAUCUUUUGCUAUAUUGGAGUCUCUAUGUUCACAUUUCCCAAACACCAUUUUGACCCAGGAUUCAUUCUUUCUGGCUUUAUUUGUGCAGCAUUGGGUCGAGCUGCAAACAUCUACCCUCUCUCAUUUCUCAUAAACCUUGGGAGGAAACCAAAGAUUGAAAUGAAUUUUCAGCACAUGCUCUUUUUCGCAGGUUUGAGAGGUGCCAUGUCGUUUGCUCUGGCCAUCCGCAACACUUUAUCAGAUGCCAGGCAAGCCAUGCUGACCACCACCUCUAUAAUUGUGAUAGCCACUGUAAUUAUACAGGGUGGUGCAACCAUGCAACUCCUCACUUGGUUCAGGAUACCAGUGGGAGUGGAGGAGGAGGUGGAGAUGCUGCCAUACACUGGACCACGUAGUGCUUCAUACAACUCCUUUGGACAGGUCGGCCAGGAGGAGCCAGGUGCAGGUGCUCGGAGCGGUGCAGGAUCACACGACAAGGCGUGGCUGGCCAAGGUGUGGGGGGAUCUGGAUGUACGGUACAUGAAGCCCCUGCUGACUCAUGCCCGCCCCACCCUGUUGGAGACUCUGCCAGUCUGCUGUACGCCCCUGGCCAGGCUGCUCACCACCACUGAGCAACUCACUCAGGAGAGAGCUCACAGGUCAGGAUCAGAUUCAGACCUGUGCCUAGAAGAGACUGAGAUGAAUGUGGGGGGUGGUGAUCAUGUGUCCACCUUUCCUCAACACAGGGAGGAUGGAGACAUGCACAGCCAGCUCAGUGUUGAGGCCCACAACUUCAUGUAGACUGAGUGCGGUGGUGAUUAACCCUCUGAGAUUUUAUCCAUCAGAUGGAGUUUUGCCUUAAAUACAUAGAUGUGGAACAGUAAAGUAAAUGUUAUUGAUUAUGCUGUACUUGACAAACUGCAAGUUGGAAAGAAGGGAUGACUUAAAAUUUUCCAGCGAUCAACAAUCAUAUGCAGUGCCAAUGUACAACACAAAACUGAAUCCUCCCUUUAGUAUCAUUGCCAUGAUGACAUCAGUUUACAUUUUUGCAAGCAAAUUGCCAAUAUGUUUUGGAGCAUAACAGAUGGUAAAGAUUUGUCACUGUGUGACAUGACAAUUUUUUAUUUGACUAUUUGAUAAGGUCAAUCAAUGCCAAUAUCAACAUGACCAAUUCAACCAGUGAUGCCUUAAAGUCAAAUAGGCGAUAAUCACUAAGUAAAAUAGUUAUGGAAAUUUACUAAAUUUAAAGGCAGUGGAAGUUAUUUUUAUCCCAUUCAGGGGUUUCCUGCACUAUGUAAUUCUUUUAUGAAUGGUGCCACAAUCAGAUAAAUAAUGGUGCAUGCCAAAUUGAAUGCAUGAUAUUUAAAUACUUUAUUAAACUUGUUUACCAAAGGCUAAAUUUUCCAGCACAGGUGCUCCAGCAUCAAUCGAUAUGUGGAAAAUGCUUUUGAUAGCCACUCUGGUAGUGAUUGAAUUUAACAUUGUAAUUGUAAAAAAGGUUAAGACUUGAAAAAUUGGAUCAUUGAGUGUUAAAUAUUGGAUCUAAUGUUUUAGCUAUUGAAAACUACAGUACAACCUUGUUUAUCUACAUUAAUUGGGACCAGAAGUGAUUCGGGAAAACAGUAAAUAUAAUAAAAACAAAAUAGAUUACUGAUAAUAGGAAAUUUACUGUUGUAAAAACAACAGGAAUAAGAUCAGUCAAAAGUGUUUAACUUUGGUACACUGCUUCUGGGAAGCACAAUAAAAAUAACCAUCAGCUGAUCUAGCUGUGCCAUGGCAUCAGAUUGAGUCAUUACAUGGUCUUCAUUAUCAUAAUUGUUUUUAUUGUCAUCUGUUACAAGCUGCUGAUACAAUUUAUCAGUAUGAAAGGAACAGGUUUGGUCAUUUGGUUCAUUAAUGUGGUUGAAUGGCUGGUGGUACAAAACUACUACCAUCCAUGGGAUUAUACCUGAAUACUUUGAACGCUGAAUCCUGCAGAGUGGGUGCUGACAUCCACUUGAGGUCCUACAAGCGAAGUCUCAAAAACAAUGUUAUGGCGACUUGUCCCACGAGAUGGUGGUUGUAUUCCAUACAUGGACAGCUCGGUUGAUUGUGAGCAUUUAGAGAAGUUCGAUGGAGGGACUUAGGUGUGAUUUACCUGUGUGUUGGUAAGCAUUAUUCUUAACAUAAAACAUGUAUUAACUGAAAACCAAACUGUGCUUUACAUUCACAAACAUUGUUUAAAUUCACUUUCCUCCACUCUGUAAAGAUGAUGGGGAUAACACAGAGAUGUGAAAAUGUGAUCUGGAUAAACAAGGUUGUACCGUAUUGACAGAUGUAGUGCUUAUAAGAUUCAUUGAUGUAGGUCUAAGGUUUGUGUAUUUCUUAGAUGCAAAGUACUUGCAAAAUUUCAAGUACUCUUUGGUGUGAAUAAAGGUUUCUACAAAACACUUUAAUAAAAGUGUAAUCAUUUAACUGUGAUUUAGAAUUUAAAUAUCUAUAUAUGAAUGAGAUAUGACUAUGUUCCAAUAUGCUUUAAAAAGGCAAUUCAAAAUCUUUAUUAGGUAUAGAAUUUUUCUGAAUAUUUAAAAGUAUAUUUAGUUUAUGUUGUUUUCAGUUUGUAUUUUAUAGAUGUAAAAUAUAGUAUGGAUUUGAUUAUGUAAUAAUUAAUGAUGUUGUGAUUUUUAGUUGGUUUUAUUUAAACAAUGUUAGUGUUUUCAAUUGUGUUAAAUCUUUAAUCGUAAUGUUUGAUAAUGGCAGAGUUUGUGUAAACAUGCUCAAAUGACUAAUUAAUGUUAUGGAUGAGUCUAAUUUUAGAAAAUGUAUUCUAGUCUUAAUCAUUUUAAAGAGUUGUAAAGAAGGGAUUAUAUGUAUAUGUUUAUAAUAAAUAUUGCUGUAUUAAUGUAUAUUAAGAUUUAAUGUUAAUAUACAUUGAUAUUAAAUUCUUUUAUUACAGGCUA